rnacentral:rRNA from 1 species
CCUACGGGAGGCAGCAGUGGGGAAUUUUGGACAAUGGGCGCAAGCCUGAUCCAGCCAUGCCGCGUGUGGGAAGAAGGCCUUCGGGUUGUAAACCACUUUUGUCAGGGAAGAAACGGCUUUUUCUAAUACAGAGAGCUAAUGACGGUACCUGAAGAAUAAGCACCGGCUAACUACGUGCCAGCAGCCGCGGUAAUACGUAGGGUGCAAGCGUUAAUCGGAAUUACUGGGCGUAAAGCGUGCGCAGGCGGCUUUGCAAGACAGAUGUGAAAUCCCCGGGCUCAACCUGGGAACUGCAUUUGUGACUGCAUGGCUAGAGUACGGUAGAGGGGGAUGGAAUUCCGCGUGUAGCAGUGAAAUGCGUAGAUAUGCGGAGGAACACCGAUGGCGAAGGCAAUCCCCUGGACCUGUACUGACGCUCAUGCACGAACGACGGUGGGGAGGACGAAACGAAGGAGUUAAGUAUACCCGUACGGUAGUACCGACCGACCCGUAAACCGAACUAGUACUAACUAGGUUGGUUGGUACGGUCGUUGUCGU